GGCCAGUUAGCUCAGUUGGUUAGAGCUCAUACUUAAAAUAUCAGGGUCACAGGUUCAGAUCCCUGUACUGGCCA